rnacentral:rRNA from 2 species
CACGCCGUAAACGAUGAGUGCUAAAGUGUUAGAAGGGUUUCCACCCUGUAGUGCUGCAGCUAACGCAUUAAGCGCUCCGCCUGGGGGAGUACGGCCGCAAGGCUGAAACUCAAAGGAAUUGACGGGGGCCCGCACAAGCGGUGGAGCAUGUGGUUUAAUUUGAAGCAACGCGAAGAACCUUACCAGGUCUUGACAUCCUCUGACAACCCUAGAGAUAGGACUUUCCCCUUCGGGGGACAGAGUGACAGGUGGUGCAUGGUUGUCGUCAGCUCGUGUCGUGAGAUGUUGGGUUAAGUCCCGCAACGAGCGCAACCCUUGAUCUUAGUUGCCAGCAUUCAGUUGGGCACUCUAAGGUGACUGCCGGUGACAAACCGGAGGAAGGUGGGGAUGACGUCAAAUCAUCAUGCCCCUUAUGACCUGGGCUACACACGUGCUACAAUGGAUGGUACAAAGGGCUGCAAACCUGCGAAGGUAAGCGAAUCCCAUAAAGCCAUUCUCAGUUCGGAUUGCAGGCUGCAACUCGCCUGCAUGAAGCCGGAAUCGCUAGUAAUCGCGGAUCAGCAUGCCGCGGUGAAUACGUUCCCGGGCCUUGUACACACCGCCCGUCACACCACGAGAGUUUGUAACACCCGAA